rnacentral:lncRNA from 10 species
CUCAGCUUCCAGAGCAGCUGAGACUACAGGUGCUCACCACCACGCUGUGCUAAUUUUUUGUAUUUUUAGUAGAGAUGGGGUUUCACCGUGUUAGCCAGGAUGGUCUCGAUCUCCUGACUUCGUGAUCCGCCCGCCUCGGCCUCCCAAAGUGCUGGGAUUACAGGUGUGAGCCAUAAAAAGAGAAUGGCAGGUAGGGCCUUAAGGAGGUAAUUAAGAUGAAAUGAAGAUGUAAAAAUGGGUCCCUAAUCUAAUAGGACUGGCCCCUAUAAGAAGAGAAAGAGACUCCAGAGAUCUCUCUCUCUACCCUGAGCACAGAGGAAAAGCCAUAUGAGGACACAACAAGAAGGUAGCUGUCCGCAAGCUAAUAAGAGAGACAUCACCAGGAACCAAGUUUACUGGCACCUUGAUCUUGGACUUUCAGCUUCCAGAACUGUGAGAAAAUAAAUUUCUAUUGGUUAAGCGGCCAGCGUGUGGUAUUUUGUUACAGCAGCCCAAACAGACUAACAUACCUUCUUUAGAGUUUUACCAAUUACUCUCCUACCAGCAGCAGUGUACAGGCAUAUCUCUUUACCCACUUCCUUUGCUGAAUUAUUAUCUAAGUUUUUUUUUGUUUUUGCCAGUCUGAUAGGUGAAAAAACUAUGAUAG